rnacentral:rRNA from 1 species
CCCGGGCCUUGUACACACCGCCCGUCACACCAUGGAAGCAAGCAACACCCGAAGCCGGUGGCCUAACCCGUAAGGGAGGGAGCCGUCGAAGGUGGGGCUCGUGACUGGGGUG